CGUGAAUACAUAGCGUAAUGAAGCGAACCGGGGGAACUGAAACAUCUAAGUACCCCGAGGAAAAGAAAUCAACCGAGAUUCCCCCAGUAGCGGCGAGCGAACGGGGAGCAGCCCAGAGUCUGAAUCAGCAUGUGUGUUAGUGGAACGGUCUGGAAAGUCCGGCGAUACAGGGUGAUAGCCCCGUACACAAAAGUGCAUGUGUUGUGAACUCGAAGAGUAGGGCGGGACACGUGGUAUCCUGUCUGAAUAUGGGGGGACCAUCCUCCAAGGCUAAAUACUCCUGACUGACCGAUAGUGAACCAGUACCGUGAGGGAAAGGCGAAAAGAACCCCGGCGAGGGGAGUGAAAAAGAACCUGAAACCGUGUACGUACAAGCAGUGGGAGCACCCUUUGGGGUGUGACUGCGUACCUUUUGUAUAAUGGGUCAGCGACUUAUAUUCUGUAGCAAGGUUAACCGUAUAGGGGAGCCGAAGGGAAACCGAGUCUUAACUGGGCGUUAAGUUGCAGGGUAUAGACCCGAAACCCGGUGAUCUAGCCAUGGGCAGGUUGAAGGUUGGGUAACACUAACUGGAGGACCGAACCGACUAAUGUUGAAAAAUUAGCGGAUGACUUGUGGCUGGGGGUGAAAGGCCAAUCAAACCGGGAGAUAGCUGGUUCUCCCCGAAAGCUAUUUAGGUAGCGCCUCGUGAAUUCAUCUUCGGGGGUAGAGCACUGUUUCGGCUAGGGGGUCAUCCCGACUUACCAACCCGAUGCAAACUGCGAAUACCGAAGAAUGUUAUCACGGGAGACACACGGCGGGUGCUAACGUCCGUCGUGAAGAGGGAAACAACCCAGACCGCCAGCUAAGGUCCCAAAGUCAUGGUUAAGUGGGAAACGAUGUGGGAAGGCACAGACAGCCAGGAUGUUGGCUUAGAAGCAGCCAUCAUUUAAAGAAAGCGUAAUAGCUCACUGGUCGAGUCGGCCUGCGCGGAAGAUGUAACGGGGCUAAACCAUGCACCGAAGCUGCGGCAGCGAC
rnacentral:rRNA from 1 species